rnacentral:lncRNA from 1 species
CUUUAAACAGCCUCAGUUUGUGAUUCUGAGAUCUCUAAUUAAGAUACAUCUCAUUACUUGACUGGCAACAUUUUCUUCAGCUAAAUCCAAAAAACAUUGACCAGAAAAGCCUCACUCCUCUAGCAGACUGAAUGCUGCUCCCUUAUUUGCAGGCUUUCACCUGGGGCUCCUGAGGGUGUGAGCGUUGUGCCCGGUUGAGCUAUUAAAUGACCAGCAUUUCCCAAAAGAACGUGAAAGAAACAGAAUGAGAUGACAGAUGCCAUCUAAGUGACAAUGUUGCUCUGCACCAAUUUUUUCACUCACUGGAAUGGAUGAUACUUGAGGAAACCAGCUCACUGAUUACUGGAUUGUGCCAUCUGAAGCUGAGAUCCAAGAGAUUUUAUAUCCUCUGAGAACCAUAUAUCCUGGAGAAAACUGAUUUAUGUAGAAAAUGGUUUUCACCUAGCAUAACAUACUGUGAAGGAAAAAUGAGAGACAAUUAAACAAACUGUCUGCCUUCCUAAGUUAGAACUUUCUCCAUUCCAGCUAAGGAGGUAAAUAAUAAGACAUUAUCUAUUAUUGCAUUUCUCUAUUAUUGAAUCAGCUUUAAAUAAAAGUCUUGAU